UACGUAGGUGGCAAGCGUUAUCCGGAUUUAUUGGGCGUAAAGGGAACGCAGGCGGUCUUUUAAGUCUGAUGUGAAAGCCUUCGGCUUAACCGGAGUAGUGCAUUGGAAACUGGGAGACUUGAGUGCAGAAGAGGAGAGUGGAACUCCAUGUGUAGCGGUGAAAUGCGUAGAUAUAUGGAAGAACACCAGUGGCGAAGGCGACUUACUGGACUGUAACUGACGCUGAGGCAUGAGAGCAUGGGGAGCAAACAGG
rnacentral:rRNA from 1 species